rnacentral:lncRNA from 13 species
CGCUGCUUAACUUCAAUAUGAUGAGAGGGAUGGUAUAAAAUUAAGUAUCUGAGUUUUUAAAAGAAUAUUCUAACGUGUGGUGGUGGUGGUGGUGGUUGUUUUUAACAUAUAAACACUGUAAGUCAUAAAGCAUCUCUCAGGAAAGAUAAAUAUCUUAGCUCGCUUCUACUGUUGUAAGAGAAUAUCAUAGACUUGGUAGUUGAUAAUGAAUAAAAAUUUCUUGGCUCACAGUACUGGCAGCUGGGAAGUCCAAUAUCAAGAUGCCCGCAGGUUUAAUGCCUGUCUGGUGAGGGCCUGUGUCUGCUCCCAAGAUGACAUCUUGAAUGCCACCCUGCUCCUGCUCCUCACAAGACAGAAGAGCAGAAGAACCAAGAGACAAAAAGGGACUGAACUAGCCCUUCUAGAAUGCAGUAAUCCCACCCAUGAAGCACUUUGGGAGACCGAGGCAAGUGGAUCACCUGAGAUCAAGAGUGCGAGACCAGUCUGACCAAUAUGGCAAACCCACAUUUCUACUAAAAUUACAAAAAUUAGCUGAGCAUUGUGGUGCAUGGCUGUAAUUCCAGCUACUCAGGAGGCUGAGGUAGAAGAAUUACUUGAACCCAGCAGACGGAGAUUGCAGCAAGCUGAGAUCGCAUCACUGCACUCCAGCCUGAGUGAUACAAUAAGACUCUGCCUAAAAAUAAAAUGGAUUUUUAUAUAUUUUCUAGAAAAGGA